AGAGUUUGAUCAUGGCUCAGAACGAACGCUGGCGGCAUGCCUAAUACAUGCAAGUCGAACGCGCCUAGCAAUAGGCGAGUGGCGGACGGGUGAGUAACGCGUGGGAACCUGCCCUUGAGUGCGGGAUAGCCGAGGGAAACUUCGGCUAAUACCGCAUGCGCCCCGGGCAACUGGGGGAAAGAUUUAUCGCUCGAGGAGGGGCCCGCGUCGGAUUAGCUAGUUGGUGGGGUAACGGCCUACCAAGGCGAUGAUCCGUAGCUGGUCUGAGAGGAUGAUCAGCCACACUGGGACUGAGACACGGCCCAGACUCCUACGGGAGGCAGCAGUAGGGAAUAUUGGACAAUGGGGGCAACCCUGAUCCAGCAAUGCCGCGUGAGUGAUGAAGGCCUUAGGGUUGUAAAGCUCUUUCGCACGCGACGAUGAUGACGGUAGCGUGAGAAGAAGCCCCGGCUAACUUCGUGCCAGCAGCCGCGGUAAUACGAAGGGGGCGAGCGUUGUUCGGAAUUACUGGGCGUAAAGGGCGCGCAGGCGGCUCUGCAAGUCAGGCGUGAAAGCCCCGGGCUUAACCUGGGAAUUGCGCUUGGGACUGUGGGGCUUGAGUUCGGGAGAGGAGAGUGGAAUUCCCAGUGUAGAGGUGAAAUCCGUAGAUAUUGGGAAGAACACCGGUGGCGAAGGCGGCUCUCUGGACCGAUACUGACGCUGAGGCGCGAAAGCGUGGGGAGCAAACAGGAUUAGAUACCCUAGUAGUCC
rnacentral:rRNA from 1 species